GACGAACGCUGGCGGCGUGCUUAACACAUGCAAGUCGAACGGAAAGCGCUCUUCGGAGUGACUCGAGUGGCGAACGGGUGAGUAACACGUGGGUGAUCUGCCCUGCACUUUGGGAUAAGCCUGGGAAACUGGGUCUAAUACCGGAUAGGACUCCGAGAUGCAUGUCUUGGGGUGGAAAGCUUUUGCGGUGUGGGAUGGGCCCGCGGCCUAUCAGCUUGUUGGUGGGGUGAUGGCCUACCAAGGCGACGACGGGUAGCCGGCCUGAGAGGGUGUCCGGCCACACUGGGACUGAGAUACGGCCCAGACUCCUACGGGAGGCAGCAGUGGGGAAUAUUGCACAAUGGGCGCAAGCCUGAUUCAGCGACGCCGCGUGGGGGAUGACGGCCUUCGGGUUGUAAACCUCUUUCAACGCCGACGAAGCGCAAGUGACGGUACCUGGAGAAGAAGGACCGGCCAACUACGUGCCAGCCGCCGCCGUAAAAC
rnacentral:rRNA from 1 species